rnacentral:rRNA from 1 species
UACGUAGGUGGCAAGCGUUGUCCGGAUUUACUGGGCGUAAAGAGCGCGCAGGCGGUCGUUCAAGUCGCGUGUGAAAGCCCCCGGCUCAACUGGGGAGGGUCACGCGAUACUGGUCGACUCGAAGGCAGGAGAGGGUAGUGGAAUUCCCGGUGUAGUGGUGAAAUGCGUAGAUAUCGGGAAGAACACCCGUGGCGAAGGCGGUUCUCUGGGACGGUAAUGACGCUGAGACGCGAAAGCGUGGGGAGCGAACAGG